rnacentral:lncRNA from 1 species
ACUCAAAAGACAAAAAUGAUGUACUGUAUAAUAUGCUUGUUGAUGAAUCCUAAAUCUCAGAUGUUAAAUUGCCUCCCAGGGAUUUCAUUGUGUUUUACAGCUUUAAUAGUUUAAAGGUAAUUUCUGGUUUGGCAUUUUUUGCCCUGUCUUGCUUUUAUAAUUUUUGAUUUUUGCAAAAUAAUUUUUAUAUAUUAUUUAUAACCUUCUAAUAGAUUUUUCAAAAGGAUUGUAUAGAACCAACUGAAUAUUCUUGAACAUUUACGUUUUAAAUGCUUUCUUGGUAAAAGAGAAAUUAGUACUUUAUAGUAAAUACUUCAUAUUAUUCUCAGCUAUUAACUACUGAGUCAUAGAAUUAAAUAAUUCUUUUGUGAAGACUAAAAUGGAUAUUAACAUAAGAAAUUAUUCUUUCCAUUAUAUUUAACUUCACAUACUUUAUAGCUAGCACCAGUGAAUAAGUCUAUUGAAUACAAAAGCUAAAAUAUUACUAGUCGUGGUUCAGAGUAUAAAGAAAAAGAUCUUCUAAAAAGGAAUAAAAUCAUUCAGUAGUAGAAACAUAGUGAAUGAGCACAAGGUGGCUCAGUAUAAAAAAAGCCAAAAUAUAGUAAACAGAAUGGUUUUGUUGUUACCAUUGUUCAUUGGCAUCUUACACAAUUAGGCCUUGACUCUUUAGUUGUGAAGAGAGAGAAUUAGCCAGGAAAGUUUCCCUAAAGACCAAAGAAGCUCUUUACCUAAGUAAUUCUAAAGUUUUGGGGUUUUUUGGAUGCAAACUGUUAUAACUGGAAUGGAUGGGCAAUGGGGCCCUACUGUACAGCAGUGGGAAAUGUGUGUGAUUGGGUCACUUUGCUGUAUAAGAGAACUUGAAGAAACAUUGUAAAUCAACUAUAUUUUAAUAAUAAUAAUCAAAAUAAAUUUAAAAAUAAAAUAAAACAGCAAGAUGAAAAAAAAAAGUCUGUUCCAUGCUCCUUAAACUAAAAAAAAGAAUGUGGUCAACACUUUGAUAAGUAUAAAGCCAAAAUACUCUAUCAAAAACAAAAUCACAUAGCUAGUUCUGCAGCUAUUUUGCUGACAUAAUAUUUUCAGUUUUGAAGUCUCUUCUUAUAUCUAAUGUUACAUCAUAACCCUAAAUUACAUAUGUACAGAUUAAUGAAAUAAAUGAGAUAGAUUGGAGUUCCCAUUGUGGCUCAGUGGGUUAAGAACCCGAAAUAUAUAGUGUUUCUGAGGAUGUGAGGAUGCGCGUUCAAUCCGUGGCCUUAUUCAGUGGGUUAAAGAUCCAGCGUUGCAAUGAGCUGUAGGCAUGGCUGUGGUGUAGGCCUGGGGUGCAGCUCUGAUUUGAUCCCUAGCCUGGGAACUUGGGAACUUCCAUAUGCUACAGGAAGAGAGAGAGAGAGAGAGAGAGAGAGAGAGAGAGAGAGAGAGAGAGAGAGAGAGAGAGUGUUUAGCCCCUGUAACUAUUUAAGACAGAAAUACCAGAGGAAGCUUCUUUCUAAUUAGAGAAUUAUUUAGCAGUGGUUCAAUCACAAAUUCCAUUCCUUGCUUUUUGCUGCUGUUGUAUCUUUGUCUCUGUAGGACUGAAAGAGAAAGAGACCUACAAGGGACCUUAUCUGAAGUGUCCCUCUUUUAUGCUGCUGCUGGUUGAGUGAAAGAUAGAAGAUUGUGCUAGGGGUUUCUAAGAGGUGGAAUAAACCGAUGGAUUUACGGGCCCUGCUGGCAUGCUCGGAGUUCUCUACAGCUCAAUUAGAUUGAGGCACAUUAGCAUGCAUAAUCUCAUAUUUAGAAAUCUUUUGAACCACUAGAAAUUGAACCCAGAACAUUACUCUAAGCCAGCCUUUUCAUCUUGAUAGCAAACCAUAUCUUGAGACUGUCUGGGCAAAACUUAGAUGUUGGAAUAAGUAAUAUUUUCUUGAAAGGUAUGUGUACCAAAGAAAAGCUAAUCAUUGUAUAUAUGAUGGUAUUAAUAUUUUCUGAGAUAUUCUGAUAAAUUAUCAGAUUUAAAUUUUGGCUCUUUUGAAGACAGUUUGCCCUUCAGAAGUAUUAUUUAAACCCAAACCUUUGUUCACUGUUAGCUAUCAGAAAUUCUUGAAAAGUUAUUGCAGUCAUUUUAUUUAAUCAAUUCAUAUUCUCAAUAUAUGGAUAAUAUUUUUUUAAUUAUUGUAUAUGUUAUGUAUAUUUUUAAAUAACAUGAUUAUGAACUGUCACUUUUAAAAUCUGUGGAUAGGACCAUUUUGAAAUAUUUUAAACUCAGGAAAUCUAAUGACUUUAGGUUUUGCUCAGGCUGCAGAUCACCUGUGGAGAUUAGAACUGCCAAAAAAAUAGCUUAAGCAGCCUUUUGAGUAUUCUAAAAUAGGGACAUUUUCCAGAGCAUUGGUUUCUAAAGCUUCCAUUAUUUCUUGAUAAUGAGCUUUCAGGAUUUAGCUAUAGUAUUUAUUCAACAUCUAAGCUGUGGUUUUUUUAUCAGGUAUAUUUUUAUACCUUUAAUAAUCAAACUGAUUUUCAUUGAAAAAAUAUAUAUGUUUCCAUGAAUCUGGAGGAAUUCCCCUUAGUGUUUCUUUGAUGUGGUUUUUGAUGUGUAGAAUAUGGAUUUGAUUGAAGAAUAACAGAAGUGGUGCAAAGAAAAACUAAGAAAAUCAGUAUUUCCUUAAUAGUCUGUCAAAGCCAUUGGCCAGCAAUUAAUCAGCACUGUUUUCCAAAGGUGCCUUCUUGCUUUCUCUGAAAAAAUCAUCCUCUGAUAUUAGGCCACCAGAAUGUUCUCUUCAUGCUCAGAAAGAUGUUUGGCAUAAGGAAAGGGCAUAGGUUCUAGUUAAUAAAACCUACAUUUUAAGUCAAAGGUAAGAAACUUAUUAGUUGUCUCAUCACAGGCAAAUGGAAGAAACUGGUUCCCUCUUGUAAUAUCUGCUGCUGAAAAUUAAACAUAUGAACAGAGCUCUAAGAGAGAACAGCUGGCUGGCUUUUGAGGCAGUACCUCAUGGGAUGGCCCCUGUUGUGGCAUCUCCAUUUACCAAGGUCUCUCCCUCAGCUUUGGGUUGGCUCACAUACAUGUGAUUAUCCUAUGAGAGAAAAGAUAUAAUUAAAAGUCAUACUGAACACUGUAAGCCAGCUAU